GACGGGUCAUUCAAAUUUCUGCCCUAUCAACUUUCGAUGGUAAGGUAUUGGCUUACCAUGGUUUCAACGGGUAACGGGGAAUUAGGGUUCGAUUCCGGAGAGGGAGCCUGAGAAACGGCUACCACAUCCAAGGAAGGCAGCAGGCGCGCAAAUUACCCAAUCCCGACACGGGGAGGUAGUGACAAUAAAUACUGAUACAGGGCUCUUUUGGGUCUUGUAAUCGGAAUGAGUACAAUUUAAACCCCUUAACGAGGAACAAUUGGAGGGCAAGUCUGGUGCCAGCAGCCGCGGUAAUUCCAGCUCCAAUAGCGUAUAUUAAAGUUGUUGCAGUUAAAAAGCUCGUAGUUGAACCUUGGGCCUGGCUGGCCGGUCCGCCUCACCGCGUGUACUGGUCCGGCCGGGCCUUUCCUUCUGGAGAGCCGCAUGCCCUUCACUGGGUGUGCCGGGGAACCAGGACUUUUACUUUGAAAAAAUUAGAGUGUUCAAAGCAGGCCUUUGCUCGAAUACGUUAGCAUGGAAUAAUAGAAUAGGACGUGCGGUCCUAUUUUGUUGGUUUCUAGGACCGCCGUAAUGAUUAAUAGGGAUAGUCGGGGGCAUCAGUAUUCAAUUGUCAGAGGUGAAAUUCUUGGAUUUAUUGAAGACUAACUACUGCGAAAGCAUUUGCCAAGGAUGUUUUCAUUAAUCAGUGAACGAAAGUUAGGGGAUCGAAGACGAUCAGAUACCGUCGUAGUCUUAACCGUAAACUAUGCCGACUAGGGAUCGGGCGAUGUUUCUAUCUUGACUCGCUCGGCACCUUACGAGAAAUCAAAG
rnacentral:rRNA from 1 species